ACGGCCGGGGGGGGCGCGCCAGGGAGCGCUCCGCUUUCGCGGUCGCGCUUUCGCGGUCGCGCUUGCGUCACGGGCACAGCCGAGCAGCAGAUAGCACUUCUGCGGUCGUCCGUGUUCGGCUCAAGUUAAGCUGAUACGCUUGCAUGGGGAAACGUGACCGCAGACCUCUGUGCAUAGGAGAUGGCCGCUGUAAGUUUGUUGUUGCUGCUGUUGGGUGCGGCAUUUAACUUGUGGAGUGAAAUAAAUAUAUCUCUGACUAGGUGAUUCAGUUCCUCUUAUAGCAACAUGUUUUGAGCAUUGAGUGUAAAGCAUUUGCCUCAAGUACAGCAAUGUUAGAAAGGUGGAGUUAGCCCUCAGCAGUCUGAGGAAUUACAUGUGGAUUCCACAUAUUUUUAAAAUAUAGUUUUCUGUCUUAUGCAAGUCUAAAAAUAGGCCUCACAGUCAUGGCAAGGCUGUCUGGUUUCCCAUUCUGUGUUUCUCAUGAAGAAACCUGCUUUAAUAAAAACUGCAAGGCUAAAAACAAAAAUCCCCUCAGUUAUUGUUACUAGCAUUAUAGAGUUAUGAGCCACGUUUUGGCAUAGUGUCAUAAAAAAUGUAUGCGUCAGUUUUUGUACAAGAGUGCUUAUUAAUGAAGUCAAAAUGGCAUUCGAUUUCAUUACAAAUAUGAUUACAUGAUUGGCAAAAACAUUUAUUUAUAAUUAUUGUUUUUGACUGUGUUACUAAUUUAUCGGAUGCUUUCAUGGCUUGGAGGGACAUUGAGGUAUUUAAUAUGAUAUAUAAAAUAUAUAAUAAGAUGUACAACCAACAAGGCCAUGCUCAUAUAAUAGGAAGCAACGCUUAGUGAUAGUAAGGUGUUUAAUUAAAUAUUGGCCAUUGGUUUGCAAUCACACAUAUGUUUAUAUCAUUCUUAUUCUUUAUGAAUCACAUAGAUUAUUAUUAUUAUUAUUAUUAUUAUUAUUGAUAAUAAUAAUUGAUUUAAUGAGUUGCAACAGAUCAAAGAAAGGUUUGUAAAUCUUUCUACCAGAGAUUUUGAUAAUUGUUGCUAGUCUGUAGAGAGGCAGUUGAGUCCACCUUAAGCCUCAGUACUGCACUGGGCCUGGUGGAGAGAGAGUGGUCCACCUUAAGCCUCUGUACUGCACUGGGCCUGGUGGAGAGAGAGUGGUCCACCUUAAGCCUCAGUACUGCACUGGGCCUGGUGGAGAGAGAGUGGUCCACCUUAAGCCUCAGUACUGCACUGGGCCUGGUGGAGAGAGAGUGGUUCACCUUAAGCCUCAGUAAUUCACUGGGCCUGGUGGAGAGAGAGUGGGCCACCUUAAGCCUCAGUACUGCACUGGGGCUGGUGGAGAGAGAGUGGUCCACCUUAAGCCUCAGUAAUUCACUGGGCCUAGUGGAGAGAGAGUGGUCCACCUUAAGCCUCUGUACUGCACUGGGCCUGGUGGAGUGAGAGUGGUCCACCUUAAGCCUCAGUAACACACUGGGCCUGGUGGAGAGAGAGUGGUCCACCUUAAGCCUCAGUACUGCACUGGGCCUGGUGGAGAGAGAGUGGAGGGGAGGGAACCUGUGGAAUGAUAAUCAGUGAGCACGCGCGCGCGAUGACGCAAUCCAGCAGCCGCCUGCAUUUUAAACGCUCGCUAUCCCUGCAGGGUGGGCGACCGCCAAGCCUGACCGGAGGGGGCGGGGGGGGGCGGCCCGUCGCUCGGGGGUAGCGGUAAUACCUUACGUGCGCACGCGUGGCACUUCAUUCAGGUUCCGUCAUGGCUGCCGGCCUGAUUAAUAAUUGUGUCACACGAUAUCAGCAGGCGCGGAUUGAGUCUCUGCAGCGUUUGUGGGAGGUCAGGUUCCUUCUUCAGUGACUGUGUCAGUGUCUGCGCCCUGUUGGAGGGCUCGCGUGUGAUUGGAUGUGUUUUUUUAAUUCUGUCAUUGUGAAGUUCUCACCCCAGACUGAAGUGAAUGUUGUGUACACCUACACUCAAAGCAGCAGCUCCAGGCUUUCGUUCAGGCCACGCCUCUUCAGCUGCACUGAGACCAGAGACAGUGGUAAAAAUAUGGGCCAGGUCACUGUGACGCCACCCGUUGACUGCCUACGGGCUUGAUGAGAUGCGUUUGGAAUCCCAGGAAGUGCAGUUUGUGGGCGCCGCCAUGUUGUACAGUGAGCUUUGUCUCUCAGCAAGACCAGGAAGUGAGCUUCACAAAGGCAGCCUGGUUUUGGCCGCUUGAUGGAGACAUAGGGAGAGGUUAGCUGGAUAGCUUUAGGUACAGACACAGUACAAACACAGGGAGAGGUUGGCUGGAUUGCUUCAGGUACAGACACAGUACAGACACAGGGAGAGGUUAGCUGGAUGGCUUUAGGUACAGACACAGCACAGACACAAGGAGUGGUUAGCUGGAUUGCUUUAGUUACAGACACAGGGAGAGGUUUGCUGGAUGGCUUUAGGCACAGACACAGGGAGAGGUUAGCUGGAUUGCUUUAGGUACAGACACAGUACAGACACAGGGAGAGGUUAGCUCAGUUCCUUUAGGUACAGACACAGUACAGACACAGGGAGAGGUUAGCUCAGUUCCUUUAGGUACAGACACAGGGAGAGGUUAGCUGGAUUGCUUUAGGUACAGACACAGUACAGACACAGGGAGAGGUUAGCUCAGUUCCUUUAGGUACAGACACAGGGAGAGGUUAGCUCAGUUCCUUUAGGUACAGACACAGUACAGACACAGGGAGAGGUUAGCUCAGUUCCUUUAGGUACAGACACAGGGAGAGGUUAGCUGGAUUGCUUUAGGUACAGACACAGUACAGACACAGGGAGAGGUUAGCUCAGUUCCUUUAGGUACAGACACAGUACAGACACAGGGAGAGGUUAGCUCAGUUCCU